GCCCCGCUACGCUGCAGCUGGAGCGACCGCCCCGGCCGGCCCCGCAGACCUGGGAGGAGGAGGAGGAGGGGAAGCCGGGGAGGGAGGCGCAGAGAGGAGGGUUGGAGCCGGGAGGAGGAAAUAAAUAAAUAAAACAAUAACCUCCGCGCCAAUAAGAGCGAGGGAGAGAGCAAGACGAGACCAGAAAGCCACCGGGGCCCGCUCGCGCGCCUCUGAGAGGCUGUCCGCGCGCGCGCGUGUGUGCGUGAGUGUGGAUUUGCCGGGACUGGAGCUGGAAAGUUCAAACUAAACGUGUUGCUCUCGCCGGGUGCCGAGGCCGCGGCGGAGGCUGCCCAACUUCCCUGGGCCAAGUGAGUGGCGUUGCCCAGCGCCUUUGGCGAGGCGGCGGCCGCUCGGCCCUGCGCCCGGGCGCGGCGGCGGCGACGGCGGCUCCGCUCGCCCCGGGAGGGAGCCCGUGGCCAGGGCUGGACGCUCGCCCCGCCACCUCCACCGACUCUCUCUCUUCUCAGCCUCUGCGCCUGGCACCGCAGCAAGACUUGAAUGCAGUGCUCAUGUAAACUAGAGAAAGGAGAUUAAAAAUCACCUCUGGAUAUUCCUCUCACGUGAUCUUUAUUCUGGAUGAAGCAAUAGGACAGCUAAUAGACGUGUGUCACUGCAAUUUGCUGCUAGAAGUGUGUUUUCCAUUUAAAAGGCAACUUCAAGGAGUUGUGGGGAAUGUAGAUCUUUGCUGCACGGAGAUAACAGUAAGUGUUUAUAUAUAUGCAAUAACUUUUUAAAAACUACAACCUCUCAAUAUUUGGAACUUCACUAUUAUAUGCAUGAAAAAAAUUAAUAUGAUUACUUAAAUUGUAUAAUUUUGAUGAAAUUUAUUUACUGUAGUGAUAUUUCUCAUAGCAUUCUAAUAGAUUAAAGGAACGUCAUUUUAAUAAGAAAUAGCAACCCAUAGCCAAAACAUUCCAGUUUGUUCACUUUAUGCUACAUAAAUUUCACUUGUACAUUUACAUUGAUUUUCUCUUUGAAUAGCUGACUUACACAGAUUUCUCAGUUUUCUAUGGGGAACUAUUUCACAAUUGAUUUUCAGAUUUUGGAUUGGAAAUACUUAUUUUACGUAACAACUUCUUUAAUUUAUGCCACUCGAAUCUUUAAUAUUUCUGCAUGUUAAAUAGUUUUCAUACAAAUACAAGUCAAUAACUCAUAUUAAUUUCGUGAAAAGUGAGAAAGGGGCAUCUGUCUGCCGAUUAAACUGAUGUGAUAAAGUGAGGUGGAACAGCUUCUCGGUUUCUCUAAAAUGUGAUUUUCAUAAUCGUUUAAAUUUAUGUUUAUUUCAAACGUAAAACAUGGGUAACUUUUGUUUUACCUGCCAUCUCAGGUUAUCUUUGUCACUUCCUUUUCAUUAAUGUAAUUACUUGGGAAUAAUCUCUACUCCAAAUUGAAUAGGGAAAUAUCAUGCUGCAGGCUCUUUGCUCAUUUAGGAAUUAAAGCAAUUUAAGAUAUGAGGUUUAAAAUGGAAAAUCUCUUUGAAAGGAGAAGAUGUGAAUCAUUUACACAGAUACCUGUUUCACUGAAAUUUAUAGAGAGAAAACAAUGUGCUCUAAGUUGUGAAUUAUUGAUUUUUAAAAUAGUUCAGAUUUCUGGGAUCUUGUCUACUUGGGGUGCUGGUGAGUGUUCCAUCUGCGAUGCGCCCUGGCUUCUGCUCCCUACUAAUACCAUUUCCUGAGUGGCUUCUCCAUUCAACAAUUGAACUCUGGCAAUAUUCCUGCCCAGUGAUCUGUACCUUUACAUGGUAUCCCUGGGCCAUUACAAUAUCUUUCAUGAUUACAAUAAAUUAAAUUUUGUUAUUUUGUAGAAUAGACAAUGAAGAUUAUACUUACAAAAUACCUACAUGGCUCAUUCGGAGAUAUGCUGUCUUGUAAAGAAAUGACUUUCUAUUUUGGGGAUUCUAACUUUGCUAUUUGAUGAAUAUAGCUGGAAAUAAGGGCUUUGGUGGAUAAAUUAGUUUGAUUUUUAGACAGUGUUAACUGGCACUAGCUUUGUGAGAGCCUUAAACGGAAUGUAAAAUUAUUGGCAAAAUAACUCCAACUACUUCUCUGUCUUACUGUGAGUAGGGAAGAUAAGAAAGGGCAGAGAAAAUACCCUCAUAAACAAGAAGUGUGAAGAAAAUCAUCUCUUUUGUUUAAGAUUUAAUUGCCUUUUAAUUGUCUUAUCUCCUCAUUCCAUUUCUAUUAUUAUUAUUAUUAUUAUUAUUAUUAUUAUUGUACUUU